GUCGAGAAUAAUUCACAAUGGGGGAAACCCUGAUGGUGCAACGCCGCGUGGAGGAUGAAGGUCUUCGGAUUGUAAACUCCUGUCAUCUGGGAGUAAGACCUGACGGUGAAUAGCCGGCAGGGUUGAUAGUACCAGAAGAGGAAGGGACGGCUAACUUCGUGCCAGCAGCCGCGGUAAUACGAAGGUCCCAAGCGUUGUUCGGAAUCACUGGGCGUAAAGGGAGCGUAGGCGGCGUGGUAAGUCAGAUGUGAAAUCCCGGGGCUCAACCCCGGAACUGCAUCCGAUACUGCCAUGCUUGAGGGUUGGAGAGGUAGCUGGAAUUCUCGGUGUAGCAGUGAAAUGCGUGGAUAUCGAGAGGAACACUCGUGGCGAAGGCGAGCUACUGGACUGUAACUGACGCUGAGGCGCGAAAGUGUGGGGAGCAAACAGGAUUAGAAACCCCAGUAGUCC
rnacentral:rRNA from 1 species